rnacentral:lncRNA from 1 species
CAGGCUCCAUGCACCGGGAGCCCGAUGUGGGAUUCGAUCCCGGGUCUCCAGGAUCACGCCCUGGGCCAAAGGCAGGCACCAAACCACUGCACCACCCAGGGAUCCCAGAGAUUUCUGUUUUGCUAGGAUGUCCCAUUUCUAGUCUUUUGGCUUGAGGGAGCAGGUUUUUGUUGGGGCUUUUUUUUGUCUGCGUCUGUUGGCAUUUCCAGGUUGCCAGCAUGUUCAGCUCCAAGUCUGGGAUAUAUAAGGCAGUAAUAAAACCCAGGAAACACACCAUUGUGUUGUUCCUCAGGGCCUGAGGUCCCUAGCCAGCCUAUCUUCUUCUCUACACACUUAAGAAUCUUAUGUUUGUUUUAUAUGUAUACUCAGAAUUUUUAGUCAUACUUAAUGGGAAGAAAAGAGGAAAGUAUAUCUACUCCAUCUUCGUAGAAGCAGACAUCCCACUGGACCAGUUUUUAACACUCCCCUUUGUCAGGAGUUCUUUGCUAAAAAAUAUAAGAAUUUUAUAAUUCUAUAAUUUUAGAAUUACGUGACAAGUGAAAUAAAAAAACCUAAUGUAACUCCCAGAAUUUUUAAAUCAUUAGAUUUUGUAGAUGUAAAAUUUCUGUCAAAUUGCUAACAGAGUUUAUAAAUGCUUACUCUCAAUCCCUGCACAUACUUUUCAUGGAGUAGGCACAGUUCACUCUCUAGGAACUACACUUUCACUAGCACUGCCUUGAGUAUUACUACUUGAUUCUUCCUGAAGUUAUAAAUUAGUGAUUAACAGUUCAGCUUAGUUUCUGCUCUGCUGUUUUCCUCAUAUUUUUGUAGAUGUGUCCUCAGUGUGAGAACCUUGUAGUUAUUAAGAAGAAGGAACGUUUGGGAUUGUUUAGGGCAGCUGUAGCAAUGGUGAUGAGUGUUGAGAAGUUAAACCAUCUCUGGUUUUAUGGGAUCCAUUUGUCUAAUUUUUAGAAUUCUUAUUAUAAAUUAUAAAAUAAGUUCUUAUAAGUGCUUACUUAUAAGAACCUUUUACAGUCAAUGCAAUUUAUGACUUCUGAGGUUACAUAGAGAACAAGUGUUUGUUUUUGGUUUUGUAAAGAUGUCUAAGUUUCAGUAUGUUUUUUUGUUGUUGUUGACAAUCUCAGCUGCAGGACAGACAGUAAGGGGCCCUAGGUAAAGCUUUCUGGGGAGCCAGGAGGUGAUUUAAAGACUGUUCCUUGGGUUAAGAUGUCAUGAUUUUUGCUGUAUUUUUGUGUCUUUGGUACUUAUGACUUCCUUCUCAUUAAAAAAAAAAUGUUUAUUUGAAGUAUCAGUUCAGUUAUUAAAAGGAGUAGAAUUUACAUUGUUUUGGAGAGCCAUAUGUUAAGUUACUGGGUUUUUCUUUGAAAACUACACAUUAGAUUUUAUAAUUUGUUUUACUUAAGGUUAAAAUUUUUGGUAGUGUUGUAACUCUCAUUUUUCCAUCCCUAGGAAUAAGCGGGUUAUUAAUAUACGUUUUAUGGGGAUCACUGGGUGGCUCAGCGGUUUAGUGCCUGCCUUUGGCCCAGGGCCUGAUCCUGGAGUUCCGGGAUCAAGUCCCACAUCGGGCUCCCUGCAUGGAACCUGCUUCUCCCUUUGCCUGUGUCUCUGUCUCUCUUUCUCUCUGUAUCUCUCAUGAAUAGAUAAAAUCUUUAAAAAUAUAUAUAUGUACAUUUUAUUAUUUCCAAGUUCCUGUGCAUAGCAGAGACUUUAGAGGGUAAGAGGGCAGCACUGUCAUGGUGGUAAGGGCUAGCUGCUUCAGAGAUUGUGAAGUCCAUACAUAUUCUGCUCUUAAUAAGACUAUAGGAGAUCCCUGGGUGGCUCAGCGGUUGGCGCCUGCGUUCAGCCCAGGGUGUGAACUUGGAGACCUGGGAUCGAGUCCCACGUUGGGCUCCCUGCAUGGAGCCUGCUUCUCAUGGAGCAUGUGUUUCUGUCUCUCUCUCUCUCUCUUCUCAUGAAUGAAUAAAAUCUUAAAAAAAAAAAAAGACUAUAAACCUUAAUCUUAUUUUUUAAAAAGAGUUAUUUAUUCAAGUGAAAGCUGGCACUGGGAGGGACAGAGGGAGAGAGAGACAGACAAGCAAACUCCAUACUGAGCUCAGCCCAACUCCCGUGUGAUCAUGACCCGAACUGAAACCGAGAUACAGAUGUUUAACCGAUUGAGCCACCCAGGCGCCCCCACAGAACUUAAUUUUAAUUAUUUUAAGUGUUUCCGUGCAAAGGAAACACUAUCUGAUCUAAUAGAACCAUUGUAGAGAGAGUAGUCAAGAGUUUCAACUUUUACUCAAAUUAGGGACAUAAGAGAGUUAAGACACCUUUGCCGUUGGGCAUGGAAAAUGGUAUUAGGAUGGUCUUUGAUCUGAAACUUGGGAGGAGAUUGAGAAAGUAGAGGGAAGAAGAGGAUGGCUAAUUGUAGACUAACUGUCUUUGAACAGGGCUGGAAAUCCUUUGAUGAGCAACCUCUGGGGAAUUUCAGUGCAUGAGCUAUAAGGACACUCCUGGAGAGAAAAGAGCUUUGUGAUGGAAGCUUUUGCCUGGAAAUGCCCUUGAAGAGGGGGAUGUAAUACUGGCAGCUUAUUAACAAGCUGGUGCUUAUCAGCUGGUGGUGGAGGCUCAUUGCUCCGAAGGGAAAGUUUGAAAAGCAUUAGGGGAAGAGUGAUUUGGUUCAGGUAGACUGGGAUAUAGGCUAUUGCUAAUUGGGGAUGGGGCAGUAAAAUACAAUGUGUAUAGCACUGACCUGUGCCAAGUGUUAUCCUAAGAGUUCUGUCUGUAUUAGACGCUUAAUUCUUUACAGCAACCCUUGGAGGUAAAUACUUGUAUCAUUACCCCAUUGUACAGAUGAACAACUGUAGCAUGGAAAUUAAGUGGUGUAUCUGGGAUCUGCAUCUUUCAUUGUUCCUAUUCAUUUACAUGGCAGUGUGGCUCCAGAAUUUUUGGUCCUAACCACCAAACUAGACUAUCAUGUUUGAGUAGUGUGGACAUUAUUUGGAAGGCAGUAGGGAGCUAUUGAAGGAUUUCAGUGGGAGUAUUGGUCAGUAUCAGAAUUAAGCUUUGAUGUACACAUAUUUUAAAAGAUUAGAGGUGGGAAAUGAGGCUAAUGCAGUAGGUCAAUUGACUAGGUAAGAACAUGCAGGUGUAUUUUUAGAGAUGGAAGCAGUUCUUGUCUGUGGGUUAAGGAAAGAGAGAAGUAAGUCACUCCACCUGUAAGAGCAUGCCAUUAACAGCAAUGGAAUAAUGAACAGGCGUUUGAGGAUAGUUAAUGAGUGUGUUGUGAGACAUGUCCAGUUGCAGGUAUCAGGGACUCCAGGUGGGGUUUUCUGCAGGCAUCAUAGUUGUAGAACUUCAUCUUGGGAGGAGAGGUCAGGUGUGGAGGCAUAGAAGAGCAUGAUCAGCCUUGGCCUGGUGAAAAUGGAGUGGGAGAGGAAGUGAACCUAAGGGGAUGCUUCCAGUUAGGACUCGAGCAGGAAAGAGUCUUUACUUCCUCAUUGGGCAAAUAUUUAUUGAGCGCUGCAUGCCAGAUACUGUGAAUACAAAGUGACUAACACAGACAUGGUUUUGUUUUGGCCAUACACUCUAAUGGGGCAGACAGAAAUAGAAACAAGUAAAUAGAAGAAAUGACAUUUCAGCUGAGAACCAGAGUUCAAAAUGUUUUUAGUACAGAGAGUGGUAGCAGGAGGAUUCCAGGUAAAAGGAAUGGUAUGUGCAGAGACCUUGUAGUGGAAAAGAACUCAUUCUGUUUAAGGAACUGUAAGAUCAGUGUGGUUGAAGGGCCACUGGUGCAAGGGAAAAUGGGGUGAACCGAAGGGAGAAAAAUCGGCGGGAGGCAGAUGAUGCAGGACUGUAUUCUCAGUGCUGUUGAAAGGUUUUGAGCAGGAGAGAGCGUUGUUUGGAAUUUUAAGCAGACCACUCCUGCUGCAAUGUGCAGAAUGGAUUUGGGAAGAGGGUAGGAUGUCUAAAAGGGAGACAUGGAGACCAGUUGGGAGAAUUGCAGGGAACCUGGACUAAAAUGGUGACGGUGGAUCUGUCUGAGGCUGAGGGUACCUCUUGUGUUUCUCUCAGCAAGCUGCUCUGGCACUCCCUGGCCUUCCCCUUUAUCAUAUCCUUUAUCAGGUUGAUCCGUGACUCUUCUAGACAGAAUUUCUUAGUCGAAGGUCCGGGGCUUGUUUCACUGGUCUCUUAAGCACCUUGAGUCCCUACUAGCUGAGAAGUGAUCAGUAAGUGUUGAGGAAAUCAGUGUGCUUAUCUUCACAGGUGUAAAACUUGGUCAGGUUUUAGACUUGAGUCUUUUUUCUGUUGUUUUUCUCCCUCAGAGAAAGUCUGAGACCUGGGUUGGCUGGUGGCAGUAUUACAGGGAAAGCGGAUGCUGACUGGGGCCUGUGUGUCAUUCACAGGUGUUUCUUAGGUCUCUAAGUGUGGGAAGGUCUGUGUGAUUUCCAUAGUGGGAGAAUUGGAAGUAGGCAAAGUCCAGAAAGCCAAGGGAGGAAACCUUAUAAAAAUAACAGGUACUGAUGUCCAGUCCUGUUGAGCAAGCAGGAAUAUGAAAAGAUUUCUUCCUCUUUCUCUGCUUUCUGCAAUUUCAGCAGAGAGGUAACAGCAGAACUCACAUUACAAGGGGGUGAGUGCCUGGUCAUAAGUGGGGACAGCGACUGUGGACCAUUUCUUGAAGGAAGUAUUGUGGGGAGGAGAAAAGGGGAGGGUGUAGCUUGAAUUGGGGUAGUUUAGGAAAUGUCUUUUAGGACAGGAAUGACCAGAGCCUGUUCUGUGUAAGUAGGGGGGUGGCUGUAGUAGGAGGCAGGGAAGUAAGAUGCAUGAGAGUCAGUUGACCCCGGGCAAAGAAAGAAUAAUUUGGUACAUGGGAGCUGACAAAUACCCAUUGAAAGGGGGUUGCCAUGGGACACCUGGGUGGCUCAGUGGUUGAGUGUCUGCCUUCGGCUCAGGUCAUGAUCCUGGGAUCUGGGAUCAAGUCCCGCAUUGGGCUCCCUGCGUGGAGCCUGCUUCUGCCUCUGCCUAUGUCUCUGCCUCUCUCUCUCUCUGUCUCUCUCUCAUGAAUAAAUUAAUAAAUCUUAAAAAAAAAAAAAAAAAA